rnacentral:misc_RNA from 1 species
AAUCCUCAAAACCCCCUUUUCUUUCAUCGGAACGGGGAUUUUGGACUUGGAGGUUCAAUGCUUGCUUUUGCUUUCAAAGGCGAGCUCCUCUUAAAUGAAUCAGUGGGGUCCGCUUUGCCGAUCCUUGACGUGAUAAUACGUUUCUACGUUUUGGAUCUGGCACUGUUUUCUCCGCUCCUAAUCGUCUCAUUGACAAUGAUGGCGCUUCGGUCCCCUGCCAUCUACGUUGGCGGGAGGCUGGACCCACAAAAAUAAAA